GGCGGGUCAGAGGCCGGCCGUCUUCCUCCACGGGCCUCACUGGCGUCCACGCGCCCGCCGGGUCAGGCGGAGGAGGGAAGCAGCCGGGUCCGCCUGAAUUUGGGUUUCGGAGGUGUGUUGUUUCAUCAGCAACGUGUUUUCUCAAAAACUGACUUUUAGGCCACAGCCCCGAGUGUGGUUCCUUCUUCUGCGGGUGUCGCCUGGUGGUCCCCGCAUGCUGGCAGGCGGUGGCUCUGGAGCAGGUGGGCAACGGCUCCCUGCCCAGGCCACAGGCUGGGGCAGCCCAGCUGCAGCCUCUGCAGGCGGGGGACACAAGUAACAACUCAGCUGUCUCCGGAGCAGCACAGACACCUCAGAGACGGAUGAAUGUCAUAUUCUGUCUCAAAAUUUCCUUCACAGACACUGACACAUGGAUUUUUGCAUAUCAUUUUCGUGAGUCAUGAAAUGUUCUUUUUCUAAUCCCUCCACACACAAUAAUUUAAAAAUGUAAACAUGGCCCAUAUAAGAACUAGACUGAACUGGCCUGUGGGCCUCGGUUCGCUGACCCCUUGUUACAGGCUAAGUUGUGUCCCUCCAGGCUUCGCGGCAGAGUCCAACCCGCUGCACCCAGAUGGCGACCUUAUCUGGGGAGAGGGUCUUUGCAGAGGUCAUCGGGCUGAAGUGAGAGCAUUAGCCUGGGCCUGAAUUCACACGGUUCCGCCUCCUUCCAAAAACGGAAGUUUGAACGCAGACACAGGGAGAAGUGGGCCCUGCCCAGCCCCGAUGCACCUGCGGCCUCCGAAGCUGGAAGGGAGGCAGGCGGUCUCAGUGGGAAGCAGCCUUGCUGACACCGUGUCCGCAGACUGCCAGCCUCCAGGACCGAGGGACAGGAGUUUCCGCAGCUGUGGUGUGCUGUGAGGCAGCCCAGCAGCCUCUCCGGCCCUGGCCUCCGAGGGACCCUGCUGGCUGACCACCCCUCCCCACCGGCGCCGCCAUCCCCCCUCCACGCAGCGGCCACGGCGGGGCUUAGGCGCCGGGGCCCUCCUCCGCCUGCACCUUCUCAGGGACUCCCGUGGCUCUGGGGUAGGAAAGCUGCUGUCUUCCCUCCCCAGAGGCCUCCUGCCCUCACGCCCUCGUGCCCUCCUCCAGAGCGCUUCCCAGGGCCCCGCUGUGCCCCUGCUUCCCUGGCGCUGAUGCGCAUGAAGACUGCAGGGCUCCUCGGGACGGCGCAUAAUCCAGGCUGGACCUACUGUUCCCGUCACUGUUAUCACAGGCACAUUUUCCUUCCAAUUUGAAAAAAAAAAAAAAAAAGAAUGUUUU
rnacentral:lncRNA from 1 species